CCAACAGCAGAUAAUAUUCAAUCACAUAUGAUAUGGUAACGGGCUAUAGUGCAUAACACAGAACCUCACAAUAGUGCUCUUUGUUAUACACAAAAAUUCAAAUCAACAGCGGAAGACACAACUACACACCCUGUCUAAUGUAAACAACAAUGCAUUUUCUUACCUGUAAUGAAGUGUUUACUACACACGUAGUGUGUGUGACGAACCGAGUUUGGGAAACCCUGGACUAGAGCACAGUACUCUUCUGUGAGGCUCUGUUUUUGGAUUUGGUAGAGCUAAAACCCUGAGGUCUGGGGUUUUCCUCUUAUUAGAGGUACACCCCAUUACACAACAACUUUUGGGCAUGUUCUCGUUAUUUGACAGACAGCUUCAAAAGUACCACUGAAAGAAGCCAACUUUGAAUGCCGGUCUAUGGGACAAACCGGAACGUGUCCCCUGAACGAGGGGCAUGGCUUUGCGUGUUGUAAUUUAUGAUGUGAAUCGGACGCUGAGUAUGCCUGGAGCUGGCCUUGUAUCCAACUUCAAGUCUAUGACUAUCAGUAUUUCAGCAUCAAUUUCAUUUCAAUCUUUGUUUAACAACACUUUGCAUCCAUGUGGUUACCCAUAACUGACCUCUAAUAUUGAAAUGAGGUGUUUAUGUGUGUGUAAAGUAAGCUUUCUGAUCCUGUGUUUUGUGCAUUGUGAAUCCGGUAGCCCUGAUUUAUUUAACCAUUUUUGUGAAUGCACAAUUACUAUCCGAUAGAAUAUGGGAAAUAUUCUAUGUUCACACCAUACUUUCAUAAAUAUAUACCUGCAACUAUUAAAUAUAUUGUAUUUGAUUUAUUCCAUGCAUUGAUAUCUUACGCAUCCUAUGCAUUAUAUCUUAUCGAUGCAUACCCAAAAGUCUGAGAAGUCAUGAAAACGUUAGACACAGAAGUUAGUGCACUUAUGUAGCCGGGAGGGAGGGGACAGUAAUCUCUGUAGCGAAUCAUCUCGUAAACCAAUGAAUUUUCAGGCACUGAAAACAGUGGUCGCUUUCUGGCCACACUCGUAUACACGAGAGUCGCAUGUGCUUUUUUCUCAUUUGUGUAUGUUAAAGAAACCCAUUCGUACUUGAGCAUAGAAAUUAUGUGGUAGAAACAUUGUAACAAUAUAAAUAUUACAGUGAAGAACUCAAAUACACCAUCCCAUUUUUUGAAGAAUGACUUUCAAGACACUUUAAACGUUUUAAACUGGAGUUGGACGACCCGGACGAUGCUGUGUAUGCCAGCGGCGAGAUAGUGUCAGGACAUGUCAUUUUAGAGCUCAACAGGGAGACGAAAGUGCACUCCAUGAAGGUCAUUGGAAGAGGGGUUGCCACUGCCCACUGGCUUGAGGAUCACAGUGUGGGCAUGAAUGCAGUUUACAACGACUACACCUCCAAGAUCACCUACUUUAGGAAGAGACAACAUCUCAUCCGAGCUCUACAUGACACUGAAAGGUCCACAAACAGCCUCCAAACAGAAUGAUGAUGUCAGAUGAUGAAUUCUAAUUUCUAACAGAAGCUGAAGAAUAUAGGUGCAGGUCAUCUGCACCAAAUUGCACCAUUUUAGCCUACUAUAUAAUAUUACAUACUACAUAAUGUAUCAGCUAUUGUAAGAUGAUUUUGCAAUGCUUCUUUCAAUAAUGAAAUAUAUCAGUC